GGAAGUGGCUCAUUGGUGAAAGCAUCUGCCUUGUGUGCAGAAAGUCCUAGAUUUAAUCCCUGACAGUAUCUCCA